rnacentral:rRNA from 1 species
AUGACCGGGCGGCACUUGAUCAAUUUACUCGUCAAUAGUCCAGAAGGUACCUUCUUCUUAGGGACAGCCAAUGUUUCUUUUGAAAUAGUUGAUGCAAAUCUGGUGGCAAAGCUGUUGAGCGAACAAAUUGAUGCAAUUAGCCUUGAAUUGGUAGUCCAAGUAGUUAGCGAUAAUGGAUCUAACUACAAGGCAGCCGGUAGACUUCUAAUGGAAAAGUAUCCUACAAUGUAUUGGACACCUUGUGCUGCCCACUGUUUGGAUCUUAUGCUAGAGGACAUUGGGAAGAUCAAAGAGUUCAGUCGUUGCAUUGCUAAAGCAAAGAGAACAACCAGAUUUAUUUAUGCCCAUGGAAAGGUUCUUGAUUUAAUGAGAAGCUUGAAUGGUAAGCAAGAAAUUGUGAGGCCUGGAGCAACUCGUUUUGCUACGUCAUUCCUUACUUUGGAAAGCAUGUGGAAGCAAAGGCAAACAUUGAAAACUCUC